rnacentral:tRNA from 1 species
GGGUUGGAGCUAUGUCAGAAGCAAUUGGCUUUUAACCAAUUGGUCGUAGGUUCGAAUCCCACACGACCCACCA